GUUUUCUAUUUACUUUACAGUAGAGGGGAAUCUUCUGCUUACUUUAUUUCUUCAUAUAAUUCCCCUUGUAUAUACGCUCUACUUCUAAAUAUUUAAUGACUUUCAGCCUUAAAGGACCACCAUAGGCACCCAGACCACUUCAGCCCAAUGAAGUGGUCUGGGUGCCAGGUCCCACGAGUGUUAACCCUAGAGGGUUCAGAGAAACUGCUGUUUU